UGCAGUCGAGCGGAGAGAGGUAGCUUGCUACUGAUCUUAGCGGCGGACGGGUGAGUAAUGCUUAGGAAUCUGCCUAUUAGUGGGGGACAACAUUUCGAAAGGAAUGCUAAUACCGCAUACGUCCUACGGGAGAAAGCAGGGGAUCUUCGGACCUUGCGCUAAUAGAUGAGCCUAAGUCGGAUUAGCUAGUUGGUGGGGUAAAGGCCUACCAAGGCGACGAUCUGUAGCGGGUCUGAGAGGAUGAUCCGCCACACUGGGACUGAGACACGGCCCAGACUCCUACGGGAGGCAGCAGUGGGGAAUAUUGGACAAUGGGCGGAAGCCUGAUCCAGCCAUGCCGCGUGUGUGAAGAAGGCCUUAUGGUUGUAAAGCACUUUAAGCGAGGAGGAGGCUACUUUAGUUAAUACCUAGAGAUAGUGGACGUUACUCGCAGAAUAAGCACCGGCUAACUCUGUGCCAGCAGCCGCGGUAAUACAGAGGGUGCAAGCGUUAAUCGGAUUUACUGGGCGUAAAGCGCGCGUAGGCGGCUAAUUAAGUCAAAUGUGAAAUCCCCGAGCUUAACUUGGGAAUUGCAUUCGAUACUGGUUAGCUAGAGUGUGGGAGAGGAUGGUAGAAUUCCAGGUGUAGCGGUGAAAUGCGUAGAGAUCUGGAGGAAUACCGAUGGCGAAGGCAGCCAUCUGGCCUAACACUGACGCUGAGGUGCGAAAGCAUGGGGAGCAAACAGGAUUAGAUACCCUGGUAGUCCAUGCCGUAAACGAUGUCUACUAGCCGUUGGGGCCUUUGAGGCUUUAGUGGCGCAGCUAACGCGAUAAGUAGACCGCCUGGGGAGUACGGUCGCAAGACUAAAACUCAAAUGAAUUGACGGGGGCCCGCACAAGG
rnacentral:rRNA from 1 species